rnacentral:rRNA from 1 species
GGGGGCAAGCGUUGUCCGGAAUCAUUGGGCGUAAAGAGCGUGUAGGCGGUCCGGUAAGUCGGUUGUGAAAGUCGGGGGCUCAACCCUCGGAGGCCGACCGAUACUGUCGGGCUAGAGUCCGGAAGAGGCGAGUGGAAUUCCUGGUGUAGCGGUGAAAUGCGCAGAUAUCAGGAGGAACACCAAUGGCGAAGGCAGCUCGCUGGGACGGUACUGACGCUGAGACGCGAAAGCCAGGGGAGCGAACGGG